rnacentral:rRNA from 1 species
UACGGAGGGUGCAAGCGUUUAUCCGGAUUUACUGGGUUUAAAGGGAGCGUAGGUGGGUCGGUAAGUCAGUGGUGAAAUCUUCGAGCUUAACUCGGAAACUGCCAUUGAUACUAUCGAUCUUGAAUUAUCUGGAGGUAAGCGGAAUAUGUCAUGUAGCGGUGAAAUGCUUAGAUAUGACAUAGAACACCCAUUGCGAAGGCAGCUUACUACGGAUAUAUUGACACUGAGGCUCGAAAGCUGGGGGAUCAAACAGG